rnacentral:lncRNA from 1 species
AGAGAAAGGAGGACUGACCCACAUGGCGUGCAGGGAUAAGAGGAUGGAGAAGUACUGGACUACUUUGCUUGCUGUAGGAACACAAACUGGUGAUGGAUUUUGAUCUGACUGGUAUGCAAGGAUGUCUACAUGUGUCUUUGCUGGAGAAGAGUUGUGGCUGAGAAGAAAUCAUUGUUUUGCCAACAAGAAUACUUGUCUAGUACAAACAGUUUCUGCAGUAGAGAAAAGUUUUUGCAGCCUCCCUGAAUUUUUAACAUAGCUGCAGCUUUUGCUCUUAAUAUAACAAGGCUUCCUAAAGUACAUGUUCUAAAUCACUAGCAGCUCAUUGCAAAUGCCAAAUAUUCAUAACAAAAUUGACUCCCAAAUUAAAGAAAAAUUUAGUGGUCCAGAAAUACUCUCAUUAAUCAUUCUGUAGAUCAAUGGAAAUCAAAAAUCAUGAAUUAGUCCUGUCCUGUUCUUCCCCUAAGCCACGGCUUAAAAAUCAGGAGUCAUAUUUUUGUGGUUAAAUCAGUCUGAAUUAUUUUGUUCACUUUGUGGUAACUGGAGUCUGCAUCUCAUAGCUGGAUCAUGUUUUCAAUUAUGAUUUAAAGUUCCCACAACAUCUGCAGAGUUCUUGUUUAAGGAAAGCCAAGAUUCUCCCACACCUGACCCAUUGUGGGUAAAGAAAUGAAUUUUGUUACUUUGCUAAAAGUGCAGGUGUUGGCAACUGUGAAUACAGGUGGUAUGUUUCAAAGAGGACAGUAAUCUACAGAAUCAAGUAAUACACUGGACUGAUAGUGAAAUUUUAUCUUCACAUGCCUUUGAGUUACUUUUUUGUUUCCUAAAGCAUCUUGCCAGAUAAAUACUCUUUUUUUCCCCUUUGUAUUUCAGAUUUUGCAUCCUAAAUAUUGCUUCUACUGCUG